ACUCCUACGGGAGGCAGCAGUGGGGAAUCUUCCGCAAUGGACGAAAGUCUGACGGAGCAACGCCGCGUGUAUGAUGAAGGUCUUCGGAUUGUAAAGUACUGUCUUCAGGGACGAACGGUAGGUAUAAAAAUAUUGUAUCUACAUGACGGUACCUGAGGAGGAAGCCCCGGCUAACUACGUGCCAGCAGCCGCGGUAAUACGUAGGGGGCAAGCGUUGUCCGGAAUCAUUGGGCGUAAAGGGCGCGUAGGCGGAUAAUUAAGUCUGGUGUGAAAACCUGG
rnacentral:rRNA from 1 species